GGGCCUGUAGCUCAGUGGGAGAGCGCUUGACUCGCAUUCAAGAGGUCGAGGGUUCGACUCCCUUCAGGUCCACCA
rnacentral:tRNA from 2 species